UCAAUGCUUCUUCACCUCGCUGCGGGCUGUCAAUGACCUUUAUGCAAAUGUGGAGAGACUGUGGCAAAUGGAUGUUCUAUCCUACCAGAGUGAAAAGGUGAUCACCAGGUCACACCAAGACAAAGAGUCCAUUCAGCUUCUGCAAGAAAACUCGGUGAGAGUGGAUGUAAAUGGUAUCCAGCGAUACGCUACUCCUCUGCUCCGUGUCAAGAACAUGCCCCGCCUCUGUGCACCAAAGGAUUUCUGCCACAGUUGAGAGGAAUUGAGAAACGGCUGGAAAGGGACCCUGUUCUAGCUGCAGCAUACCAAGGGGAGCUGGCCAAGCUAGUGCAAGCUGGGUAUGUUGUCAAACUUAGUCAGGAGCAAGUGGAGAGAACAAAGGAAGCCUGGUACAUCCCGCACCACAUGGUGCAGCAUAAUGGGAAGAACAGGGUGGUCUUUAACUGUUCAUUCUCAUAUCAAGGGCACAACCUGAACGAGCUACUGUUACCUGGUCCAACACUUGGUCCAUCUCUCCUGGCAGUCCUUCUGCGUUUCCGGGAGCACUCUGUUGCCAUCAGUAGUGACAUCCGCGGCAUGUUCCAUCAGGUACGCCUCUUGCCACAAGAUAAACCUCUGCUGAGAUACAUCUGGAGAGACAUGCAAAGAGACAGAAUCCCAGAUGUCUAUGAAUGGCAGGUACUGCCUUUCGGGACCACUUGCAGUCCGUGCUGUGCCUCGUUUGCUUUACAGAAGCACGUUCUUGAUCACAGCCAGCCUGGAGAGGACACACAAGUUUCAGUGGAGAAAUCAUUCUAUGUGGACAAUUGCCUCCAGAGCUUCGCUUCCCAUGACAUGGCCAAGAAUCUUGUAGACAAACUCUGUAGCCUUCUAGCAUCUGGUGGCUUUGAGUUACGACAGUGGGCUAGCAAUGACCCAUCAGUUAUCAGCCAUCUGCCAGCUGACAUUCAGUCUCAGAGUAGCAUCCUCUGGCUCAGCGAAGGCCACCAAGAAGCUCAGGAAUCAACACUUGGCCUGCACUGGAAUUGCCAAUCAGAUACCCUCUCUUACAAACGACGCAAACCAGACAGUGAAGUGCCCACAAUGCGAAGCAUCUACCAGAUCCUUGCCAGCCAGUAUGAUCCCCUUGGCUAUAUUGUACCCUUCACCACUCGAGCCAAGGUGAUAGUGCAGAGGUUGUGGGACAAACAAAGGGAGUGGGAUGACCCAAGGCUGCCAGAGGACCUAUUACACUCUUGGAAACAGUGGGAGAGUGAAUUGGAAGAUUUGCAGAAUAUCAGUUUGCCCAGAUGUUACUGCAGCAAGGAACUAGACUGCUCUAGUAGUAUUAGGCAACUUCACAUCUUUUGUGAUGCCUCAGAGAAGGCAUAUGGAUCUGUGGCUUACUUGAGAACAGAGAACCCUCAAGGUAAAGUGGAGGUGGCCUUUGUAACAGCUAGGUCUCGUGUUGCAUCCAAGAAACAGCAGAGCAUCCCUCGUCUUGAGCUGUGUGCAGCACUCACAGGUGCACAGCUUGCUAAAGUCCUGAAGGCAGAGCUAACGUUACCACUCAGUAGUGUCACACUGUGGUCUGAUUCUACCACAGUGCUAAUUUGGCUUUUAUCAGAUUCCUGUCGCUUUAAGGUGUUUGUGGGGACCAGAGUGGCAGAAGUACAGGACUUGACUGAAUCUGACACCUGGCGUUACGUACAGUCAUCCGACAACCCAGCAGAUGCAAUUACAAGAGGAAAGUCUCCCUCUGAUCUCAACAAAGACAGCAGAUGGAACCAAGGCCCAGCAUUCCUCAGACAAAGACCAGACAGCUGGCCAGAGAUGCCUCCAUUAGCUCACAUAAGUCAAGACGGUGAGCUGAAAAGGUCAACUUUCUGUGGACUGUUAACUUCUGCUCUGUCACUGCCAGAUCCCCAUCAAUAUUGCACAUUCACAGACUACUUAAAAGCUCUUAUAAAACCAUCAGCAGAAAGCUCUCCCUCCAUUGCAACUGCAGAAGACUAUAUAGAAGCUGAACUCACAGCCCUCCGACAGAUCCAGGCAGAAUCAUUCCCAGACGAGAUAUUGCACUUGAAAUCUGGUAAACCUCUACCAAGCAAUAGUCGACUCCUUUGCCUAGCCCCAGAACUAGAUAUCAGAAUCAAUCUCAUAGACAAUAUAGAAGCUGAGCUCACAGCCCUCCGACAGAUCCAGGCAGAAUCAUUCCCAGACGAGAUAUUGCACUUGAAAUCUGGUAAACCUCUACCAAGGGUUGGCGGUCGCCUCCGACAAAUAAGUCAACUAGACGAGGAUACCAUUCACCCCAUUGUCCUUGACCCACAUCACCCGCUCACCAAACUAAUUAUCAAAGACUACGAUGACUGUUUGCAUCACCCUGGACCAGGGUGGACUAGUAUUGAUCUCCUCACAAGUAUGGAC
ensembl:lncRNA